UAUUUUGACUAAGGGAGCUACCAUUUGAUUUUUAUGGGGGGGCUAGGAUGAAAUUUGAAAAAAAUAGGCAGGACAGGAGUUUUGAGUAAAAAAAAAGGCAGGAUGAGACACUUGCAAAAAAAAAAGUCAGGACGACAAUUUAGGUAAGAAAAAGUCAGGAUAAACUAAAAAAAAAAAGGCAGGACCGAACAGAGUAAAAAAUAAAAAGGCAGGACAGAGAUUACAGCUAAAAAAAAAUGCAGGACAAAAUUUUUCAUCCUAGCCCCCCAUAAAAAUCAAAUGGUAGCUCCCUAAUA
rnacentral:lncRNA from 1 species